GGUAGCAUAACAGUUAAGCACUUGGCUGCUAACCAAAAGGUUAGUGGUUUGAAUCCACCCC
rnacentral:tRNA from 1 species